GGGAGCUGGGCACGAACGGCAGCAGACGCUGGGAGGCCAUCGGACGCCGCGCGCUGACAGAAAACACCGCUUUAAAGAUCUAAAACCAACCCUGUACCUCACAUGAAACAUGAGAUCUCACCAUGGAGAAAUAAGGAAGUACUCCAGUAAAGGGUGGAUCUUCAAUGGGUCCGCAAAUCCGGAGAUGCGGAAUGAUGCAGAACGGAAGCACUACGAUCCGCUGCAGCUGCCCAACGAACUGUGCUCGUGCAUUGCGGCCCGCAUGCGCACACGCCUGUGGGAAAGAGGCCUAACAGUGGCCUCCACAGCUCCUCACCCCCUUAACUAGGACCUACACAGUGCCCCGCCCCCUUAACUGUGACCUCCAAAUCAACUCUUCCCCCUUAGCUGUGACCUCCCACAGCACCCUUGAACAUACCCCUUGAACUUUCUUUUCACAUUACACCCACAAACUUAAAUGUAUUUUAUUGGCAUUAUGUGACAGACC